rnacentral:misc_RNA from 1 species
GAUGAAGAACGCAGCGAAAUGCGAUAAGUAGUGUGAAUUGCAGAAUUCAGUGAAUCAUCGAAUCUUUGAACGCACAUUGCGCCCUUUGGUAUUCCAAAGGGCAUGCCUGUUCGAGCGUCAUUUGUACCCUCAAGCUUUGCUUGGUGUUGGGCGUCUUGUCUCUAGCUUUGCUGGAGACUCGCCUUAAAGUAAUUGGCAGCCGGCCUACUGGUUUCGGAGCGCAGCACAAGUGGCACUCUCUAUCAGCAAAGGUCUAGCAUCCAUUAAGCCUUUUUUUCAACUUUUGACCUCGGAUCAGGUAGGGAUACCCGCUGAACUUAAGCAUAUCAAUAAGCGGAGGA